rnacentral:rRNA from 1 species
GGUUAAGCGACUAAGCGUACACGGUGGAUGCCCUGGCAGUCAGAGGCGAUGAAGGGCGUGCUAAUCUGCGAUAAGCGCCGGUAAGGUGAUAUGAACCGUUAUAACCGGCGAUACCCGAAUGGGGAAACCCAGUGUGAUUCGUCACACUAUCAUUAACUGAAUCCAUAGGUUAAUGAGGCGAACCGGGGGAACUGAAACAUCUAAGUACCCCGAGGAAAAGAAAUCAACCGAGAUUCCCCCAGUAGCGGCGAGCGAACGGGGAGGAGCCCAGAGCCUGAAUCAGCAUGUGUGUUAGUGGAAGCGUCUGGAAAGGCGCGCGAUACAGGGUGACAGCCCCGUACACAAAAGCGCAUGUGCUGUGAGCUCGAUGAGUAGGGCGGGACACGUGGUAUCCUGUCUGAAUAUGGGGGGACCAUCCUCCAAGGCUAAAUACUCCUGACUGACCGAUAGUGAACCAGUACCGUGAGGGAAAGGCGAAAAGAACCCCGGCGAGGGGAGUGAAACAGAACCUGAAACCGUGUACGUACAAGCAGUGGGAGCCCCACCACUAAGCCAGUGGUGAACUCCACAUACGCAUCCUUUGCUGAGGAUACGGUUAACGGAGCGAAAGCGACGUUCAACCUCAAAACAAGCAGAGGGGGCUUAGUGGUGGGGUGACUGCGUACCUUUUGUAUAAUGGGUCAGCGACUUAUAUUCUGUAGCAAGGUUAACCGUAUAGGGGAGCCGGAGGGAAACCGAGUCUUAAUUGGGCGUUAAGUUGCAGGGUAUAGACCCGAAACCCGGUGAUCUAGCCAUGG